rnacentral:rRNA from 1 species
UACGUAGGGGGCAAGCGUUGUCCGGAUUUAUUGGGCGUAAAGAGCUCGUAGGCGGCUCGGUAAGUCGGAUGUGAAACCUCCAGGCUCAACCUGGAGACGCCAUUUGAUACUGCCGUGGCUUGAGUCCGGUAGAGGAGCAGGGAAUUCCUGGUGUAGCGGUGAAAUGCGCAGAUAUCAGGAGGAACACCGGUGGCGAAGGCGGCGUCCUGGACCAACACUGACACUGAUGAGCGAAAGCCAGGGGAGCAAACGGG